AGGAGUGGCGGACGGGUGAGUAACACGUGGGUAACCUACCCAUCAGAGGGGGAUAACACUUGGAAACAGGUGCUAAUACCGCAUAACAGUUUAUGCCGCAUGGCAUAAGAGUGAAAGGCGCUUUCGGGUGUCGCUGAUGGAUGGACCCGCGGUGCAUUAGCUAGUUGGUGAGGUAACGGCUCACCAAGGCCACGAUGCAUAGCCGACCUGAGAGGGUGAUCGGCCACACUGGGACUGAGACACGGCCCAGACUCUACGGGAGGCAGCAGUAGGGAAUCUUCGGCAAUGGACGAAAGUCUGACCGAGCAACGCCGCGUGAGUGAAGAAGGUUUUCGGAUCGUAAAACUCUGAUUGUUAGAGAAGAACAAGGACGUUAGUAACUGAACGUCCCCUGACGGUAUCUAACCAGAAAGCCACGGCUAACUACGUGCCAGCAGCCGCGGUUAAUACGUAGGUGGCAAGCGUUGUCCGGAUUUAUUGGGCGUAAAGCGAGCGCAGGCGGUUUCUUAAGUCUGAUGUGAAAGCCCCCGGCUCAACCGGGGAGGGUCAUUGGAAACUGGGAGACUUGAGUGCAGAAGAGGAGAGUGGAAUUCCAUGUGUAGCGGUGAAAUGCGUAGAUAUAUGGAGGAACACCAGUGGCGAAGGCGGCUCUCUGG
rnacentral:rRNA from 1 species